AUUGAACGCUGGCGGCGGGCCUAACACAUGCAAGUCGAACGGUAGCACAGAGAGCUUGCUCUCGGGUGACGAGUGGCGGACGGGUGAGUAAUGUCUGGGAAACUGCCCGAUGGAGGGGGAUAACUACUGGAAACGGUAGCUAAUACCGCAUAAUGUCGCAAGACCAAAGAGGGGGACCUUCGGGCCUCUUGCCAUCGGAUGUGCCCAGAUGGGAUUAGCUUGUUGGUGAGGUAAUGGCUCACCAAGGCGACGAUCCCUAGCUGGUCUGAGAGGAUGACCAGCCACACUGGAACUGAGACACGGUCCAGACUCCUACGGGAGGCAGCAGUGGGGAAUAUUGCACAAUGGGCGCAAGCCUGAUGCAGCCAUGCCGCGUGUGUGAAGAAGGCCUUCGGGUUGUAAAGCACUUUCAGCGGGGAGGAAGGCGAUACGGUUAAUAACCGUGUUGAUUGACGUUACCCGCAGAAGAAGCACCGGCUAACUCCGUG
rnacentral:rRNA from 1 species